rnacentral:rRNA from 1 species
AACGAACGCUGGCGGCAUGCCUAACACAUGCAAGUCGAACGAGACCUUCGGGUCUAGUGGCGCACGGUUGCGUAACGCGUGGGAACCUGCCCUUAGGUUCGGAAUAACUCCCCGACAGGGGUGCUAAUACCGGAUAAUGUCUUCGGACCAAAGAUUUAUCGCCUUUGGAUGGGCCCGCGUUGGAUUAGCUCGUUGGUAGGGUAAAAGCCUACCAAGGCGACGAUCCAUAGCUGGUCUGCGAGGAUGAUCAGCCACACUGGGACUGAGACACGGCCCAGACUCCUACGGGAGGCAGCAGUGGGGAAUAUUGGACAAUGGGCGAAAGGCUGAUCCAGCAAGGCCGCGUGAGUGAUGAAGGCCUUAGGGUUGUAAAGCUCUUUUAACCGGGAUGAUAAUGACAGUACCGAGAGAAUAAGCUCCGGCUAACUCCGUG